GUAUCUGCCUUCCGAUUAUAUUCUGUUUACAUCAGUUCGACAAGGCACUAUUUCAUGAACCACUUCUCAUCUGUUUUAGUUGGCCCUGAGCUUAGCGCCUACCUAGAGAACGGCCUAUGGCCAACGGCUAGACACGGCCAACGCAGCACAGAUAACGCCAGCGAUGAGCUGGUCUUUUUUUGCCAGAAUAUCGAACCCGGAUGGGUCUUUUGAGGGAAAAAGAAGGCUUUGAGCACAGUCUGCUGCUGAUUCGACGGUCCCCCACUCACUAUCUUCGACGUCGCUUAGCUCAUCUUUGGAAUCACAGAGCGAUCGUGAUGACAUCGGCAAGUGAACGUGUCCUGAAUUAGUCAAUAGCGACACUCCCCCGAUGGCCGCCCGAACACCGGUUUGCUCCGCUGAUAUCGUCUGCGGUGCGACGUUCCUAGACACACUCUUCACCGAUGAAUUCCCCAACCACCCAAAGAAGAACGUGGUAAAGCAGCGGACGAAAUGCGGAAAACGAGUGCGCCAAAAGCUAACGGAAUGAAACGAAGGCAAAGAGAAAGAAGACGGCAUGUUUGUCUCAAUGUUGCUAUAUCUGCGAGGUCGGCACUUCAUAUUCGACAUGUUUACGCAACAGAUUAACCUCACAUAUGGAACAAUCGAUGGAAGGAAUCGCGCCGCGGGCGCAUCUUCAGCAAUCUUCCCACGUAGACUCGGGGGUUGGAUGUUUAAGCAACUUAAUGCUGGGAGAGGAACUUUACCUUUGCAAGAAUUGUAACCCGUGGAAGCGUCUAACUAGACACUUUCAGGUCAAAUGCUGCAGACGGUGAAUGAAAUGGAAAUCCCUUUUGCCCGUGAAGCCUAACCGUGACUAAAUUAUUGUUCUUAGCUGCAGAAGUUCAAAACAAUAAAAUAUGGCAGCCAGAUCGCCCAGAAGACAGCACAGGUUAU